UGCAUGGCGCAGAUACCAUGCAGUCGAGCGGAACGAGUUAUCUGAACCUUCGGGGAACGAUAACGGCGUCGAGCGGCGGACGGGUGAGUAAUGCCUAGGAAAUUGCCCUGAUGUGGGGGAUAACCAUUGGAAACGAUGGCUAAUACCGCAUGAUGCCUACGGGCCAAAGAGGGGGACCUUCGGGCCUCUCGCGUCAGGAUAUGCCUAGGUGGGAUUAGCUAGUUGGUGAGGUAAGGGCUCACCAAGGCGACGAUCCCUAGCUGGUCUGAGAGGAUGAUCAGCCACACUGGAACUGAGACACGGUCCAGACUCCUACGGGAGGCAGCAGUGGGGAAUAUUGCACAAUGGGCGCAAGCCUGAUGCAGCCAUGCCGCGUGUGUGAAGAAGGCCUUCGGGUUGUAAAGCACUUUCAGUCGUGAGGAAGGUGGUGGUGUUAAUAGCACUAUUAUUUGACGUUAGCGACAGAAGAAGCACCGGCUAACUCCGUGCCAGCAGCCGCGGUAAUACGGAGGGUGCGAGCGUUAAUCGGAAUUACUGGGCGUAAAGCGCAUGCAGGUGGUUUGUUAAGUCAGAUGUGAAAGCCCGGGGCUCAACCUCGGAAUUGCAUUUGAAACUGGCAGACUAGAGUACUGUAGAGGGGGGUAGAAUUUCAGGUGUAGCGGUGAAAUGCGUAGAGAUCUGAAGGAAUACCGGUGGCGAAGGCGGCCCCCUGGACAGAUACUGACACUCAGAUGCGAAAGCGUGGGGAGCAAACAGGAUUAGAUACCCUGGGUAGUCCACGCCGUAAACGAUGUCUACUUGGAGGUUGUGGCCUUGAGCCGUGGCUUUCGGAGCUAACGCGUUAAGUAGACCGCCUGGGGGAGUACGGUCGCAAGAUUAAAACUCAAAUGAAUUGACAGGGGCCCGCACAAGCGGUGGGAGCAUGGUGGUUUAAUUCGAUGCAACGCGAGAAUCCUUACCUACUCUUGACAUCCAGAGAACUUUGCAGAGAAUGGAUUGGGUGCUUCAGGAACUCUGAGAACAGGUGCUGCAUGGCUGUCGUCAGCUCGUGUUGGUGAAAUGUUGGGAUUAGGUCCCGCACGAAGCCGCCAACCCCGUUUAUCCUUGUUUGCUAGGCGGAGUAAGUGUCAGGUACCUCCAAUGGGAGAACUUGCCGGGUGGAAUAAAUCGGAAGGAAAGGGUGUGGGGAACACAA
rnacentral:rRNA from 1 species